CUUUUUUGAGUUAGAUUUAAAACCGUUGUAAUUGAUUACAAUGAAUGUUCUCAUAAGAAGAAUUAUUUGAAUUUAGUUACUAUUGUCUUGUUGAAACACAGGUCGCAUAUUUGUGGAAACAACAGGAAACGGAAGUUGUUGUUUCUGUGGUCCCAUCUCAGAUUAGAGGUAACAACUUUGUCAUACGUCACAGUGAGUUCCUGACCCUUAGACCACACAGCUGGCUUGUUGGAGAAGUAUGUAAACUAGUUAUUUAAAAAAAAAAAAGUACUGCAUAAGGUUAACGUUAAAGCUGGGGCAGGACAUUAGUUUUUCCCUACACAUUCAGUAAGUACUACUUUAGAUCGACAUUCCAGGCAUAUCCUCAUGACUGAAUACUGAGUAUACGUCAUUGAAAGUAUCCUGCACCACUGGGCCAUUCGGCUAAAUCAGGGGAAUAAUAUCUACAUUAUGAACCACUACACGAGCGGUGUGAUCCUCUAUGGAGAGAGAACUAAUCAGGAGACAAAGCUUGUCCAAGGUGAACUUUGACAACUACAGAGCCAUUUUAUCCUUUGUGAACAUUGGAAAUGUACAUUGGAAGUUUCUGUACAUAAAUGCAGAUGACAGCUGUCUGUAUUUGGUCGAUCCGUCAAGAAACUCUUUGGAGCAGGAAGAGUCUGACCGUGCAGCCAAAAGAUUCCGUGAAUACUUCAAAAUGAGGAGGACAUGCUACAACAAAACAGACUGGGUGAAUGUGAGACUUCGAGGAGUACUGACACAUCCAUUUCAAUGGGAUGGUUCUAGCUGAGGAGUAAUGGUCAUCAUGAUGGUCAUAGAAGUAAUGGAAGCAUUCCCAAAUAAACCAGAAAUGACAUUUUUGACGACAAAAAAAGAGAUGGCCCAGGCACGAAGGACAUUUGCACAGACAAUACUUGAGGCCUCCGUAUUUGACAGUGACAACAACUGUGCCAUGUGUGCAACGGUGAAACCACCUAAUCCAGGACCCUCCAUCACUGACUGGAUCCAGUGUGAUAACCGCUGGUUCCAUUCUGAAGGCCUGGACAUGACAAAUGAACAGCUCAGCAGUGCUCAGAAGACAGAGUGGAAGUGUGUGCUUUGUGUAACCUAAUUCCACAUGCAGUGAAAGCUACUUGAAUAAUCUGCUUAUAGUUGUUAUUGGUGUUUUGAGGAACACAUGUGUAAAACACAAUGUGUAUAACAUUCUUGCUUUGUGCAGGUACUUCAAGUAUUUCCUUUUUGAUUUUUUGGGUUGAUUUGUGUGAUGACAGAUAAUGAAUAACAAUAUAUCUAAACUGUGUAGUAGUAAUAUGAGAAAUCAGUAAUCUGAGAAAUAUAAUUUCUCACCCUGACCGGUUGAGGCAGAUGGCCCCGCCCCUCCCUGAGCCUGGUUCUGCCGGAGGUUUCUUCCUGUUAAAAGGGAGUUUUUCCUUCCCACUGUUGCUCAUAGGGGGUCAUAUGAUGUAUUAUUGUAAGGUUUAACUUAUUAUGUAAGUGCCUUAAGGUGACUAUUGUUGUGAUUAAGCACUGAAUAAAUAAUGUCUAAAACUGAA
ensembl:lncRNA